CAGCAGCCGCCACGGUAAUACGUAGGGUGCGAGCGUUAAUCGGAAUUACUGGGCGUAAAGCGUACGCAGGCGGUUUUGUAAGACAGGCGUGAAAUCCCCGGGCUCAACCUGGGAAUGGCGCUUGUGACUGCAAAGCUAGAGUGCGGCAGAGGGGGAUGGAAUUCCGCGUGUAGCAGUGAAAUGCGUAGAUAUGCGGAGGAACACCGAUGGCGAAGGCAAUCCCCUGGGCCUGCACUGACGCUCAUGCACGAAAGCGUGGGGAGCAAACAGGAUUAGAUACCCCAGUAGUCCCUGUCUCUUAUAC
rnacentral:rRNA from 1 species